UGGGGAAUAUUGCGCAAUGGACGAAAGUCUGACGCAGCGACGCCGUGUGUGGGAGGAAGCUCUUCGGGGUGUAAACCACUGUCAAGAGGGAAGAAAUGCGUUGACUCGAACAGGGUCUAGCGCUUGACGGUACCUACAAAGGAAGCGCCGGCUAACUCAGUGCCAGCAGCCGCGGUAAGACGGAGGGCGCAAGCGUUGUUCGGAAUUACUGGGCGUAAAGCGCGGGCAGGCGGUCUGUUAAGUCGUUUGUGAAAAUCCGGGGCUCAACCCCGUGAAAUGCAUACGAUACUGGCAGGCUGGAGAUUGGUAGAGGCUAGCGGAAUUCCUGGUGUAGCGGUGGAAUGCGUAGAUAUCAGGAAGAACACCUGUGGCGAAGGCGGCUAGCUGGGCCAAAUCUGACGCUCAUCCGCGAAAGCGUGGGGAGCAAA
rnacentral:rRNA from 1 species